rnacentral:lncRNA from 1 species
CUUCUUGGAAAACUCAUCAAGAAGAGAUGGAAGGCAUAAGCCUGAGAAUAAAUGACAAAAAAUAAAGUGUAUGUUACCAAGAAUAAGAGAUUAAGUAACCAAGUAUGAGAGAAUAAAGAGUAUGGACUCAAGAGUGCCAAUGGACAAAGUUCUUAGCUUUGUUUUCUUGAGGUGAGAUUGGGAGAAUGUUGGGUGUGUGAGCAGCCUUGUGAACCCCAAAACGAGCAGUCUUUGUUAUCUACUUUGUGGGCUUCAAGAUCUGCUCCAAACUGCCUUGAUAACUCCAAAAUGAGCAGUCUUCAUGAUCUACUUCAAGAGCUUCAAGAACAGCUUCAAAUCGCCAUUCUUCUUGAUGGCUUCUUUUUCUUCAUCCCUUGAGAGAUCUUCUUUGGCGUGAAUUGAAGAGGCCUUUU